GACAGACAAACGGGGCACACUUCCCCGACA
rnacentral:sRNA from 1 species